ACGCUGGCGGCGUGCUUAACACAUGCAAGUCGAACGGAAAGGCCCUGCUUUUGUGGGGUGCUCGAGUGGCGAACGGGUGAGUAACACAUGAGUAACCUGCCCUUGACUUUGGGAUAACUUCAGGAAACUGGGGCUAAUACCGGAUAGGAGCUCCUGCUGCAUGGUGGGGGUUGGAAAGUUUCGGCGGUUGGGGAUGGACUCGCGGCUUAUCAGCUUGUUGGUGGGGUAGUGGCUUACCAAGGCUUUGACGGGUAGCCGGCCUGAGAGGGUGACCGGCCACAUUGGGACUGAGAUACGGCCCAGACUCCUACGGGAGGCAGCAGUGGGGAAUAUUGCACAAUGGGCGGAAGCCUGAUGCAGCAACGCCGCGUGCGGGAUGACGGCCUUCGGGUUGUAAACCGCUUUCGCCUGUGACGGGGCGUGAGUGACGGUAAUGGGUAAAGAAGCACCGGCUAACUACGUG
rnacentral:rRNA from 1 species